rnacentral:rRNA from 1 species
GAGACAUGAAUCCAGGCCCUACGGGGCGCAGCAGGCGCGCAAACUUUACAAUGCGAGCAAUCGUGAUAAGGAAACCCUGAGUGCCUGUCGAUGCAGGCUGUUCAUAUAUCUAAAUCAUAUGUGAAGAAAGGGCAGGGCAAGACCGGUGCCAGCCGCCGCGGUAAUACCGGCUGCUCGAGUGAUGGCCACUAUUACUGGGUUUAAAGCGUCCGUAGCUUGACUGUUAGGUCUCUUGGGAAAUCUUCGCGCUCAACGUGAAGGCGUCUAAGAGAUACCGGCAGUCUUGGAACUGGGAGAGGUAAACCGUACUUCGGGGGUAGGAGUGAAAUCUUGUAAUCCUCGAGGGACGACCUAUGGCGAAGGCAGUUUACCAGAACAGCUUCGACAGUGAGGGACGAAAGCUGGGGGAGCAAACGGGAUUAGAUACCCCGGUAGUCCCAGCCGUAAACAAUGUGCGUUAGGUGUGUCGGUAACCACGUGUUACUGAUGCGCCGAAGAGAAAUCGUGAAACGCACCACCUGGGAAGUACGGUCGCAAGGCUGAAACUUAAAGGAAUUGGCGGGGGAGCACCACAACAGGUGGAGCCUGCGGUUUAAUUGGAUUCAACGCCGGA